rnacentral:rRNA from 1 species
UCCUACGGGAGGCAGCAGUGGGGAAUUUUGCACAAUGGGCGCAAGCCUGAUCCAGCAAUGCCGCGUGUGUGAAGAAGGCCUUCGGGUUGUAAAGCACUUUUGUCGGGAAAGAAGUCGUUGACUUUAAUACAGUCGGGGGAUGACGUUACCGGAAGAAUAAGCACCGGCUAACUCCGUGCCAGCAGCCGCGGUAAUACGGAGGGUGCGAGCGUUAAUCGGAAUUACUGGGCGUAAAGCGCGCGCAGGCGGUUUGCUAAGUCAGAUGUGAAAUCCCCGGGCUCAACCUGGGAACUGCAUUGGUGACUGGCAGGCUAGAGUAUGGCAGAGGGGGGUAGAAUUCCAGGUGUAGCAGUGAAAUGCGUAGAGAUGUGGAGGAAUACCGAUGGCGAAGGCAGCCCCCUGGGCCAAUACUGACGCUCAGC